UGUGUAUCAGUACAUGGCAUAUCAAUAAGCGGAGGAAAAGAAACUAACAAGGAUUCCCCUAGUAACGGCGAGUGAAGCGGGAAGAGCUCAAAUUUGAAAUCUUAAAGGGUUUCCCUUUACGAAUUGUAGUUUAAAGAAGUGUUUUCUGUUGGAGUUUCGGUAAAAGUUCUUUGGAAUAGGACAUCAUAGAGGGUGAGAAUCCCGUAUUUGACCGUUACUUUCCAGCUGUGUGAUACACUUUCAAAGAGUCGGAUUGUUUGGGAAUGCAGUCCAAAAUGGGUGGUAAAUUUCAUCUAAAGCUAAAUAUUGGCGAGAGACCGAUAGCGAACAAGUACCGUGAGGGAAAGAUGAAAAGAACUUUGAAAAGAGAGUUAAACAGUACGUGAAAUUGUCAAAAGGGAAGCGUUUGACACCAGUGUUGUUUUCUCGAAAAUCAAUUAUGAAUGGCUUGAUUCUAAGUUUCUAUGACCUUUAUCAAGCUUGUUGCUUAUUUUUCUUGUCUCUUUUAAUGCACUUUUCGGUUAACAAGUCAACAUCAAUUUCUUUUGUUGUAAAAGGGUAUGAGGAAGGUGGCUUUCUUUUCGGAGAAAGUGUUUAUAGCCUUGUGCCUCUGCAAUCGGAGAGAUUGAGGUCUGCAGCGUAGAUCCUUCGGGGUUAGAUACGUUUGUGCUAAGUUAUAGCUUUUCAUAGACAACUUGUUGACUAUGUUUAGUCUUGUAGCUUACUCGCUUAUGCUAUUUUACCUACGCUUAGGAUGUUGACAGCAGUAUAGACUGU
rnacentral:rRNA from 1 species